AAUAUUCCCAUCACUUGGAGCAAAAUAUUCAUUGAUACCAGAUGAUCGAUAUGGUACAACUAUAACUGUUGAACUUUGCAGUGUUACGUAUGAGUCAGAUCAAGAGAUGGAUGUAAAUCAAGAAUCUGAUACUGAAACUAACGAAGUUUCAAGUACACAAAAUAAUGAUGUUGCCAUAGAAGAAUAAUAUAUAAAAAGGAAAAAAUAUAAUAACGAAUUCCUAUUUUUUUAAAU